GAUGAAGAACGCAGCGAAAUGCGAUAAGUAGUGUGAAUUGCAGAAUUCAGUGAAUCAUCGAAUCUUUGAACGCACAUUGCGCCCGCCAGUAUUCUGGCGGGCAUGCCUGUUCGAGCGUCAUUUCAACCCUCAAGACCCCUUCGGGGGACUUGGUGUUGGGGACCGGCACAGGGGCCUGCCUGCUUGUCUUGCAGCGCCCUCGCCGCCCCCGAAAUGAAUUGGCGGCCUCGUCGCGGCCUCCCCUGCGUAGUAGCACAAACCUCGCAACGGGAACGUGACGGCGGCCACUGCCGUAAAACAACCCAAUUUUAUUAGAGUUGACCUCGAAUCAGGUAGGAAUACCCGCUGAACUUAAGCAUAUCAAUAAGCGGAGGA
rnacentral:misc_RNA from 1 species